rnacentral:tRNA from 1 species
CAAAGCGUAGCUUAACAAAAGCGUCUGGCUUACACCCAGAAGAUUUCACCUUAUACUGACCACUUUGA